rnacentral:rRNA from 1 species
UGGGGAAUAUUGCACAAUGGGCGCAAGCCUGAUGCAGCAAUGCCGCGUGAGUGAAGACGGCCUUAGGGUUGUAAACCGCUUUCAGCAGGGAAGAAACUGACGGUACCUGCAGAAGAAGAUGCGGCCAACUACGUGCCAGCAGCCGCGGUGACACGUAGGCAUCAAGCGUUAUCCGGAUUUAUUGGGCGUAAAGAGCUCGUAGGCGGUUCGGUAAGUCGGGUGUGAAAACUCUGGGCUCAACCCAGAGAGGCCACUCGAUACUGCUGUGACUAGAGUGCGGUAGGGGAGCGGGGAAUUCCUGGUGUAGCGGUGAAAUGCGCAGAUAUCAGGAGGAACACCAGUGGCGAAGGCGCUGCUCUGGGCUGUAACUGACGCUGAGGAGCGAAAGCAUGGGUAGCAAACAGGAUUAGAUACCCUGGUAGUCCAUGCCGUAAACGUUGGGCACUAGGUGUGGGUCUCAACCAACGAGAUCCGCGCCGUCGCUAACGCAUU